rnacentral:lncRNA from 1 species
GAUUAGUCAGGCCUCAGAAAGAUGGCGUCCUCGGAGCAGGCAGAGCAGCCGAGCCAGGAUGGUCUUGAUCUCCUGACCUGGUGAUCUGCUAUACCCAGCCUGGACACAGUAUUUUAAAAAUAUAGUUUGAAGGUACUGGAGAGCCACCAAAAGCAAGCAGAAAUUGGAGUGAAUUUGAUUCUUGAAAGAAAGACCCCACCCAGGGGAGCCACCUUUAUAAGGCUUUUUCCUUGAGGUAUUCCCCAAUCCAUCAGGUGCUAGCAAAUAGAACUCAAGCAGAAAGCUGUGUCAUAUUGGUUUGAGGAAUCAGGGGAUAUUUUGAGACUGUGUGUCGGGAAAUUGAAGAUGGCAAUCAUAGAAAGGAGAGAACCAUGCUGGGGAUCACCCCGAAGUACAUAUAAACACCCCUCACAUGCUAGACUAACUGCUGAACUGCCCAUGCACAGGGGAAGUGCCACAGAUUCCAGCAGAGAUUUCAGUAGCUGCCUGCUGUGGGAGAGAGAGAAUUUGGAGGUGGAGUCUUGUCAAGUUAGAGGCGAUUCGAUAAACACCUUGGACUUUGCUUUGAAAUCCCAGAAGGGCUACCCCUUAGGGGCAAAUACUACUCCCCAGGGCUAUGGCAUUUUCCCUAGGACUAAGGGCAAAACAAAAAUAAAGCAUAAAAUUGUGCC